rnacentral:rRNA from 1 species
UACGUAGGGGGCAAGCGUUGUCCGGAUUUAUUGGGCGUAAAGAGCGUGUAGGCGGUUUGGUAGGUCGCUGUGAAACUCGAGCUCAACCUCGAGACGCCGGUGGAAACCAUCAGACUAGAGUCCGGAAGAGGAGAGUGGAAUUCCGUGGAUGAUAGCGGUGAAAUGCGCAGAUAUCGAAGGAAGAACCGAGCCCGUAGGCGAAGGCGGCGUC